rnacentral:rRNA from 1 species
GACGUAGGGCGCGAGCGUUGUCCGGAAUUAUUGGGCGUAAAGAGCUCGUAGGCGGCUUGUUGCGUCGACUGUGAAAACCCGCGGCUCAACCGUGUGGCUUGCAGUCGAUACGGGCAGGCUAGAGUUCGGUAGGGGAGACUGGAAUUCCUGGUGUAGCGGUGAAAUGCGCAGAUAUCAGGAGGAACACCCGUAGCGAAGGCGGCACUCUGGGCCGAUACUGACACUGAGGAGCGAAAGCGUGGGGAGCGAACAGG